rnacentral:pre_miRNA from 12 species
CCUCUUCAGCCUUCAUGCCCAUUCAUCCGCGGGUGGGGAUUUGUGGCAUUACUUGUGUUCCAUAUAAAGUAUUGCACUUGUCCCGGCCUGUGGAAGAAAGGAGGAUUUUAUCGUCUUCUUU